rnacentral:rRNA from 1 species
UACGUAGGGUGCAAGCGUUGUUCGGAAUUACUGGGCGUAAAGCGCGCGUAGGCGGGUUUACAAGUCGGUUGUGAAAGCCCUGGGCUUAACCCGGGAUGUGCAGUCGAAACUGUAAAUCUUGAGUGCCUGAGAGGAUGGCGGAAUUCCCGGUGUAGUAGUGAAAUACGUAGAUAUCGGGAAGAACACCUGAGGCGAAGGCGGCUAUCUGGCGGUGCACUGACGCUAAGGCGCGAAAGCGUGGGGAGCAAACAGG